rnacentral:rRNA from 1 species
AGUGAACGCUGGCGGCAGGCCUAAUACAUGCAAGUCGAACGGCAGCACAGCAGAGCUUGCUCUGUGGGUGGCGAGUGGCGGACGGGUGAGGAAUACAUGGGAAUCUGCCCAGUCGUGGGGGAUAACGUAUGGAAACGUACGCUAAUACCGCAUGCGCCCUAAGGGGAAAGCCGGGGACCGCAAGGCCUGGCGCGAUUGGAUGAGCCCAUGUUCGAUUAGCUAGUUGGCGGGGUAAAGGCCCACCAAGGCGACGAUCGAUAGCUGGUCUGAGAGGAUGAUCAGCCACACUGGAACUGAGACACGGCCCAGACUCCUACGGGAGGCAGCAGUGGGGAAUUUUGGACAAUGGGCGCAAGCCUGAUCCAGCAAUGCCGCGUGCAGGA